rnacentral:rRNA from 1 species
AACGAACGCUGGCGGCAGGCCUAACACAUGCAAGUCGAGCGAUCCCAGCAAUGGGGGAGCGGCAGACGGGUGAGUAACACGUGGGAACGUACCCUUCGGUUCGGAAUAACUCAGGGAAACUUGAGCUAAUACCGGAUACGUCCGAGAGGAGAAAGAUUUAUCGCCGAAGGAUCGGCCCGCGUCUGAUUAGCUAGUUGGUGAGGUAAUGGCUCACCAAGGCGACGAUCAGUAGCUGGCUGAGAGGAUGAUCAGCCACAUUGGGACUGAGACACGGCCCAAACUCCUACGGGAGGCAGCAGUGGGGAAUAUUGGACAAUGGGCGCAAGCCUGAUCCAGCCAUGCCGCGUGAGUGAUGAAGGCCUUAGGGUUGUAAAGCUCUUUUACCUGGGAAGAUAAUGACGGUACCAGGAGAAUAAGCCCCGGCUAACUUCGUGCCAGCAGCCGCGGUAAG